rnacentral:lncRNA from 1 species
CACGCUGGUAUUAUAUCUACAUAACGUUUAUUCUUCUUACAGCAAAGAGCUGGAGAAAUACAAGUGAGAACCUGUUAUUACAGGUUAAAUUGUGUAACACUCAACUUGCGCUGAGGUCCAGUUUCUUUUUAUUAUGCUCCAAUUUUGUUGAAUGACUAUUGCCUAAAAUAAAUGGGCAAUCGACAGGGGCUUAGAACUAACAGGGAUGCUUAAGUGACUUUUAUGGUAGCAGUAUUUGUUGUAACAGAAUUUGAUCUGUAUUCUAGUUAUUAGUUUUAUUCAUCACAUUGGAAAGUUGGCACCUCCACUGUUCAUGCCAUUAUAUGCAAAGCACUGUAGCAUGAAAGUCACUUACAAAGCUGUGAAAAAAACUCUCUGAACACCAGAGGCUCAUGAAACAAUAAAAGUCAGCUAGGGGGAUAUACACUGUUUGAUUUAGCUAAAUAUUCUGGAUGGUCAAAGGUUUAUUCCUUUUAAUUCCUAAAAGUUUUUUUUUUUAACCAUUGGGAUGUAAAUAUUUCUAAAAUGUUUGAUAUACAUAUUUUUGUCUUCUAAGCAUAGUUUUUUUAUGUAUGGUGCACAGGGUCAUCAUUUUAAAUAGAAUAUUGUCCCAUGAUACAGUGAGGCUCUUAAAGAUUGAGAUGUGUAUAGACUGUUUUUGACACUAAAUAACCCAUAUAUCAGGGCUUUGGAGCUUUGCAGUCUACUCAAAAUUUCCAUUUUCUCUAUUGCUGUCCUCCUUUUUCCUUCUUGUUUCCUCUAAAAGUCUGUUUCUUUCCUUUACAGUUAGAAAUAUGUGUGAAGGAAGAGCAAAUAGGUUCUGAGGAGGUGCCUGAUGACUAGAUGUAUGGCCUUUGUCUUAUGCGUUUGCUUCAUGGUAUUUAUUUCAAUUGGUUGGAAGCCUUGUUUGCUUACUUCUUAAUUCUCAGUCACUUUUGAUGGGUUCAGCAGAGGUUCUAGAUUUUUCUAGUUCUGUCUCAGUUACUCAUUGUCAAACCACUGGUUUAGAUUUUGUGUUCAGGAAAUAGGGAUAGGUAAAGCUAUCAGGUGGCUAAGCCCUAGGUAAAUGAGUUGCCAUGAAUCCUAAAAUAUUGUGAAGGUUGUGGGCCAUUUUUAUAAGGCAAAUGGUAUGCUGUGGCCGUGACAGCUGAACUCAGUAAGUGAACUUUAAAACAGAUAAGCUCCUUUUGCUGUUGUCCCUUUCCAAGAAUAUGAAGCUGGCCUGACGUCAAGCUGUUGGAGAGCCUUCAACAUGUUUAAUUAAAUCACAGACUCAGUGUCAGAGCUGGCUGACUUUCAGGAUUCUAACGCUAUAGCAAAAGAAGACAUGGUUUUGCCUCUCGUUGAUUUUCUUAUUUAUGGCCUUGGAAUAAAGAAGAUAAAGCAAGUCUAACAGUUCUCCCUUCCAAAAGUACAGUUUCAGGCCAGAAGAUUUGACUGCUACCCUUAGACUUUCUUUCCCUCACUGUACAUUGCAUUUUACAGGCUAUACAAAGCAAGACCUUCUUUGCAAAAGGCAAACUCCUUUGCCCCAAGGCCAUACUGUACAUGUGUGGGGGUAGUUGUAGGGGGAUCAGUGUUGUUAUUCACCAAUACAAGAUGGAAUCAGUGCAGCUAGGAGAGAAGAGAUUAAGGAAAGAGGCUGUGAAGUCUGCUAGACCUGGGUUUAAAUUCUGGCUUCCCGCUUAUUAGGGUGUAACCGUGGUCACAGUACUUAAUUCUCUAAAUUUGAUUCCUGAGCAACAAAGUGGGGAAUGAUAGUAUUGGUGCUGUUACUAUUAUGAUAAUGUGAAAAACAACAGGAGAGUACCUGGCCCAGAGAAAGAGCUAAGUGACAGCUCUUAUUAACAUAAAUGAAUGAUUUAAACCUGGAGAUUACAAUAGUUAACAAGCACAGACACUUAGUGCAGUCUGUUACUGACUUCAAGCAGUCUUUUGCUUUUGUUUCUAUUUCUGUGACAUCUUCUCUUAUUACGACUUUCUGUUGGGUGUCUCUAACUCUGGUGCCUUGUGAAGGCCAGGAGAUAUUCCAGACAAGCUGAAAUUCUACCUUUUUAUGAGUAUAAAGGAAAUGGGGCCAUGUUGGACCAAACAAAGAGUAAUAAAAUAAAAUAUAGAGUUGUAGCUUUCAGAGGGAAAGAUAAAACAAGAAAGGGCUGGGGCAAUGGAUGUGGUGUUGAGAUACUGGCACCAGGAAGCAGGGAAGAAAACCUCCAAACACAUUGUGGUUUGUUAAAACACUGAAGACUCCUAAGUGCUACAGUGGCAGGCAGUGCCACCCCACCAGGCAGCAGUGUCCUCCGCAACUGGGGAAGAGGAAGUAGGGCCUAAUGAUUGCUCUCGGAGACAGAGAGUCUGCUGUCCUGGGCUUUACCAGCCUGGCUUGUUGGGUGACCUUGAGUGACUUAUCUCCCUCUCUUGGACAAUUUUCUCAAGGUUCUCACACAGUCCCUAGCUAACUAAAAGGGUCUGAUGAAGAUAAAUGUGUUAAAAGAAAAUUUAGAGGAGAGUCCACAAACUGUCCCUCCAGAUACACCUGCUGGUGGGUUUUAGGAUUUUUAAACAUUAAAUUUUAAUGCAUUUAGGCAGGGCUUGGUAUUUUCUAAUUCACACAGUAUCUACCAUCUUGAGUCUUCACAUUUGGCUCCUGAAGGCCUCUGAGUAUAUGACUUCUGAUUUCAAUGCAACCUCUGGUCCUUCAAACCAGCUUGGAAUUGCUUCAUUUACAACUCAUUCUAUGUUUUCAUCAAUUACAUGCAAAUAUGUAUUUCUAAAGUUUCACAAAACAAAGAUUUUGUUGGCCUAACUGUAAUUUGCUCUAAAAGACAUUUUUUUUUCUAGAAAAUAUGGCAAAAAUUACAAUUUUACCUUCCUUCUAGUUCAUCCAAAUUCUAAAACUUUAAUGUUAUUUGAAAACAUAAUUUGGCACCAAGUAUUCUUUAGGUUAUAAUCUAAGUUGCUCAUAAAAUGUAAUCUAGGCCUGGAUCAUUUUACUUUGAGGAGAAAACUUAUCACUAAAUAAUAAUGAUCUUAAGUCUGUUCUUUUGCCACUUCCCAGAGCUCUCUCCUAAGGCACUGUGGAAAAGUCAGGAGUAAAUUAGACUCCCACAUCUAGUAACCAAAACACCAUCAUCUCCAGCAUUACCACAGUCAAGUAUGCAGCUCGUCAUAAAUAUUUACACCUUGCAGGGUCCUUUGUGCACAACUCUGAGAGACAAAUGGCAUUUCCAGUAAUAGUUUAUUGAUUUCCAAAUGCACAGGGGCACCAAGUCCGAACAUCCUGGGAUAGCAGUAAAUCUCUCUUACAAAAUAAUUUACAGUAUGAAAAUGAUAUACUGAAACAUUAACCCAAACGUGUAAUUCCCUUGAAAGAUUCAGUGUUCCCUUGUUUAAUGUAAAGGGUGGAAGGGGAAGAUUCCUAAGGAGGGAAUGUGACUGUGCACAGGAAAAUAGGCAGAGGACAAUGGAUUCAUUGGUUCUCCCCAUUCAUGCAGUGUGGCCUGUCACUGUAGAAAGACUGGUCAGGUUUAACCCUCAUUAAGUAUUAAUCUGCUGUCCCCUCAAAGUCAUAUCAAGCCCAGUAUGGGCUCCGUGGCUUUUUUUGCACCAAUGUAUCCAUAAGUGUCUCCACUUAUUUUCAUUUUUCUGCUCUGGCCCUCGUUCUGCUGUUUCUGGUAUGUUCUCAGUUCCAAAUUAUACUAUCUUAUCUUACCAGGCAGGCCUCCAGAAUCAAGAACUGCCUGAGUCUUAUGGUUUCUGGAAUGGGACAGGGUAGGGGGCUUCAUAAGCACUGCUGGAUAAAGGCAAUAAUAAUGAGACUGAAGUCUCCCAUAUGGGCCUUCUUUUUCUCUUAGAGCUGGGCUGGACUCAAUCCAUAAUGAGAUUUUUUUAAACAUAAAAAUCUGAUGUGAUCAGCACACAGUAAACGUGCAGUUAAUUUUCUUAUUGAGAAGCAUGUAUUGCACAGCCAUUAUAUGAAUGUGGAAUUUCAGGAAUGGCAAGAGAAUAUUUUCUACUUGGGGAGAGAGGACUUCCUAGACCCUGCCACAACUACAAGGUCAUGAAUUCUGCAUUUGUGCCCUUAGGUCUAACUGGAGUAGUUAGACUCUCAGGUCACCAAAAUGGCUGGGCAUCCAAGUUUCCCAUCUUAUUAGACAUCCUGGAGGAGGGCUGGAGUGCAAUUUCCUUCAGGGCUGUCACUUUGACUCAGUGCCUUAGGAGCUAAUGACCUUUGCUAGGGAAUUGCUCUUCCUGUAAGCAAGUACCUAAGCCCCAACUAUAUGGUGACACUUGUAAUUAGGGCUGACAGAAAUCUUUGAAGUAGUACGCAAGAUAAUGAAGGGGCUGCUUUGAGUUUUCCCUCAGGGCCUGGCUCAUAGUUGUUCCUUAAUACAAGUUAUUUCCCUUCUUGGGCUGUCAGAGCCGAGACUCCAAGCACUUCUUGGGACUGUCCUGGAUUUAAUGAUAUCAAAUCAAAGUCCCUCUCAGCAUCCAGAAAUUCAACAUUUGAAAGAUAGCCAGAAAUUGCUAUGAGUAUCCGACUGAUUCUGGAAACAUUCAUUACCUGCCUCCCUUGGUGACUUCUCUUUAGGGGUUUCAGCAAACCCUGCCACCUGCACCCAGGCAAGACCCAAUUCUGAGCUCUCUAACUUUUACUGACCUGGCAGGAGGGAAGCCUCAUCAUGCUGGGGCUUAAGGCCAAGCAGCAUGCUCCAGCUCUAGGGGAAGGUAGUGCCACUGCAGGAAGCAUCCUAGUUCUUACAUUGAUAAAUGCUGCCGGCAGGAACUUAGAAGCCUGGGCAAAAGCUGCUGCACUGUGUUUAAUGCUUCCCUGGUUAAAGUUUUAUCAGGUACUGAAGACAGCAGGAGUCUAUAAAGCAAAUCUGAAACGCUUUCUAAGUAAAAGCAAAAGUGCUUUCCUUGAGGAUCACAGAGAUAUGAUAAGUUACUGAGACAGGUUGGCAAAUAUUUUUAUAUUUCCAUUUAUAUCCACUGCAUAAAUGCUUGAAUUUCCCAAAUACUGAUUCAAAGUAGUAACAUAUGAUCAGAUAUGGAGAACCAAUGAUCUGUCUAUUGCUAAUAUAAGGCUACUAUUUGGAGAUCAAACAAUGAUUAUUGGGGAAAGACAAUACAAGCUUCCAAAUCCUAAAAUCUUUUUAAUCUUCUGAUACUUAAAUUUUUUCGAGAGUGGCCACUGGUCCUUCUUUUAGGGUACUUUUGUUGGAUAUGAUUGGUGGUUGUAAUUAAUGGUAUGCCAAAUUCUCCAGUCUUUGCAGAGAUAGGUAAAGCACCAAAAUUGUCCUAGCCAUUUCUUGGCCAUCAGUUUGAGAGAAAAAUGCUUUUUUUUUUUUUUUUUUAACACCUCAAACUCCCCUCAGCCCCAAUAUCCUGGCAUCUUUAGUGAGUCAGGACAAU